rnacentral:rRNA from 1 species
CAGUAGCCGCGGGAAUACGGAGGGUGCAAGCGUUAAUCGGAAUUACUGGGCGUAAAGCGCACGCAGGCGGUCUGUCAAGUCAGAUGUGAAAUCCCCGGGCUUAACCUGGGAACUGCAUUUGAAACUGGCAGGCUAGAGUCUUGUAGAGGGGGGUAGAAUUCCAGGUGUAGCGGUGAAAUGCGUAGAGAUCUGGAGGAAUACCGGUGGCGAAGGCGGCCCCCUGGACAAAGACUGACGCUCAGGUGCGAAAGCGUGGGGAGCAAACAGGAUUAGAUACCCGGGUAGUCCCUGUCUCUUAUAA